rnacentral:rRNA from 1 species
GACGAACGCUGGCGGCGUGCUUAACACAUGCAAGUCGAACGGAAAGGCCCUGCUUUUGUGGGGUGCUCGAGUGGCGAACGGGUGAGUAACACGUGAGUAACCUGCCCUUGACUUUGGGAUAACUUCAGGAAACUGGGGCUAAUACCGGAUAGGAGCUCCUGCUGCAUGGUGGGGGUUGGAAAGUUUCGGCGGUUGGGGAUGGACUCGCGGCUUAUCAGCUUGUUGGUGGGGUAGUGGCUUACCAAGGCUUGAACGGGUGGCCGGCCUGAGAGGGUGACCGGCCACAUUGGGACUGAGAGACGGCCCAGACUCCUACGGGGGGCAGCAGUGGGGAUUAUUGCACAAUGGGCGGAAGCCUGAUGCAGCAACGCCGCGUGCGGGAUGACGGCCUUCGGGUUGUAAACCGCUUUCGCCUGUGACGAAGCGUGAGUGACGGUAAUGGGUAAAGAAGCACCGGCUAACUACGUG